rnacentral:rRNA from 1 species
GGAUGCUGACGAGCGGCGGACGGGUGAGUAAUGCAUAGGAAUCUGCCCGGUAGUGGGGGAUAACCUGGGGAAACCCAGGCUAAUACCGCAUACGUCCUACGGGAGAAAGGGGGCUUCGGCUCCCGCUAUCGGAUGAGCCUAUGUCGGAUUAGCUAGUUGGUGAGGUAACGGCUCACCAAGGCCACGAUCCGUAGCUGGUCUGAGAGGAUGAUCAGCCACAUCGGGACUGAGACACGGCCCGAACUCCUACGGGAGGCAGCAGUGGGGAAUAUUGGACAAUGGGGGGAACCCUGAUCCAGCCAUGCCGCGUGUGUGAAGAAGGCCCUCGGGUUGUAAAGCACUUUCAGCGAGGAAGAACGCCUAGCGGUUAAUACCCGCUAGGAAAGACAUCACUCGCAGAAGAAGCACCGGCUAACUCCGUGCCAGCAGCCGCGGUAAUACGGAGGGUGCAAGCGUUAAUCGGAAUUACUGGGCGUAAAGCGCGCGUAGGUGGCUUGAUAAGCCGGUUGUGAAAGCCCCGGGCUCAACCUGGGAACGGCAUCCGGAACUGUCAAGCUAGAGUGCAGGAGAGGAAGGUAGAAUUCCCGGUGUAGCGGUGAAAUGCGUAGAGAUCGGGAGGAAUACCAGUGGCGAAGGCGGCCUUCUGGACUGACACUGACACUGAGGUGCGAAAGCGUGGGUAGCAAACAGGAUUAGAUACCCUGGUAGUCCACGCCGUAAACGAUGUCGACCAGCCGUUGGGUGCCUAGCGCACUUUGUGGCGAAGUUAACGCGAUAAGUCGACCGCCUGGGGAGUACGGCCGCAAGGUUAAAACUCAAAUGAAUUGACGGGGGCCCGCACAAGCGGUGGAGCAUGUGGUUUAAUUCGAUGCAACGCGAAGAACCUUACCUACUCUUGACAUCCUGCGAAUUCGGUAGAGAUACCUUAGUGCCUUCGGGAACGCAGAGACAGGUGCUGCAUGGCUGUCGUCAGCUCGUGUUGUGAAAUGUUGGGUUAAGUCCCGUAACGAGCGCAACCCUUGUCCUUAUUUGCCAGCCCGUAAUGGCGGGAACUCUAAGGAGACUGCCGGUGACAAACCGGAGGAAGGUGGGGACGACGUCAAGUCAUCAUGGCCCUUACGAGUAGGGCUACCAACGUGCUACAAUGGUCGGUACAAAGGGUUGCCAAUUCGCGAGAGUGAGCCAAUCCCGGAAAGCCGAUUCCAGUCCGGAUCGGA